UGAAGUGGCAGAGAGAGUUUCAGUGAUUUAAUAACUUACAGACCAAGUCAAGCAGGCAAUAAAUCCAAAACCGUAAACAGGGGAAAACCAGGAACACCCGGAAACAGAGCAUUAGAAACCUGCAGAACUUCUCAACACAAAAUACUUUAAGGAACUGACACCAGACAAAAGGAGCACACAAACGAAAUACACAAGGAGGGGAUCACAGGACAAGGCACAGCUGAAGUGGGAAGGGAACUGGUGUAAGGAGGGAAACACUGAUUGGUUAACAAGACAAGGAAUGGCAACAGAAAGGCCGGCUGAUCAGGCGAGACAGAAGGGACGACAAGGGCUACAGGGACACAUGAGUACACUAAAAAAGAUGCUUUGCUAGCUGCAGGCACCAGGAGAGGAGCCAGGUGAUUAUGCUCCUCAUGUGUAUGCUGAGGAAGGAAAUAGGAAGACUGACUUUGAGCUUGAUGCCAUCUCCAUCCAUGAUGAUUCUUUUGACCCAGACUUGGACAUGGGCCUGGAUUUCAAAUUCAAUACUCUGGCCUCACUCUGCAUGUUUAGUGAAAGCACUGCCCACAGUACAAAAUCUCCUCUCAAAGGCUUUAAGAGACAGCAACUCUGAACCAAGAAAGCCAUAACACUCAUACUGUAUUUGUAUUUUUGAACAAAUCAUCAUCUUAAAUUAUAAAUAUUACCUACAUACCCUAUGAAGGACUUGUGGAUAACCUUUAAAUACACAUGCGUGAGGCGAGCCGUGGCUGGUUGUCAUAGCAGGAAACUGCCGUGACCUAACACAACACACACACAGAACGCCAAAGGUGUGUUGUUUUUGACUCUGGGCAUGGGGGCUGUUGCCACAGACAAGACAAAAUGUAGGUUCAGAAAGCAAUAACGCAGUGAAUGGUGACGUUUCCCUCCGACCAAUCAGUAGUCUGCAGGGUUUCACGUCACCUUUUGGUAUGGCCUCAGCUCGCUUGGACCCUCGACUGAGGUGGUAUUAUACAAUGUACCUGUUAGCAGGUCCCAGGGACUUUUUUUACGUAAUGGAAAACCAAAAAAGGCGAGUAGAGUGGAGGCGAGUCGAGUAGGUACCAUGCAGUGGAAAAAAGCCAUAAUUUUAGCUACACUUGAAGGACAUUUAUCAUUUAUCUUCUCUAGACUCUUCAUCAGUCAAUGAUGGCUGGGAGAGAAAAAACAAUGACUGUGUCUGAGAAAAUAUGAAAAUUAGAACUUAGUAAGCACUAGGGACACAGUUCAUCUAUUCAUCGUUUCCACUAUUGCACUAUUCAUAAGUCAUGUUACACAAACCUUACCAUAAAGAGUCUCUACUUUGUGAUGAGAAGGAAAACU